UACGGAGGGUGCAAGCGUUAUCCGGAUUCACUGGGUUUAAAGGGUGCGUAGGAGGGCAGGUAAGUCAGUGGUGAAAUCUCCAAGCUUAACUCGGAAACUGCCGUUGAUACUAUCUGUCUUGAAUAUUGUGGAGGUGAGCGGAAUAUGUCAUGUAGCGGUGAAGUGCUUAGAUAUGACAUAGAACACCAAUUGCGAAGGCAGCUUACUACACAGUUAUUGACGCUGAGGCACGAAAGCGUGGGGAUCAAACAGG
rnacentral:rRNA from 1 species